rnacentral:rRNA from 1 species
AUUGAACGCUGGCGGCAGGCCUAACACAUGCAAGUCGAGCGAGCGGCGGACGGGUGAGUAAUGUAUGGGGACUGCCCGAUAGCGGGGGAUAACUACUGGAAACGGUAGCUAAUACCGCAUACUAUCGGAUAACCCAUAUGGGAUUAGCUAGUAGGUGAGGUAAUGGCUCACCUAGGCGACGAUCCCUAGCUGGUCUGAGAGGAUGAUCAGCAAAACUGGGACUGAGACACGGCCCAGACUCCUACGGAGGCAGCAGUGGGGAAUAUUGGACAAUGGGCGAAAGCCUGACUCAGCCAUGCCGCGUGUAUGAAGAAGGCCCUAGGGUUGUAAAGUACGUUCGUUCGGGAGGCGUUACCGAAAGAAGAAGCACCGGCUAACUCCGUGCCAGCCGCCGCGGUAAUUC